GCAGCAGUAGUAACUCAGUUGUAGAUCCCUUUAGGGGUGGUGAAUUAAUGGAAGCACUUUUACCUUUUAUGAGAAGUGCUUCCUCCACUCCUCUUUCUCUUUCUCUUUCUCCUUCUUCCAAUCUCCCUUCUAAUUCUCUUCCUUCUUCCUCCCUUUCUUCUUCUCCUUCUCCUUCUACCUCAAGUUCUUUUCCCUACAAUUCUUUCUAUUACCCAACAGAGUCAAAUUUCCAGCCCAAUUUGAAUUUGGAUGGUGGGAACUUUGUGAUUGGAUUGGAUCAAGAGCCUUGUUCGAUUGGGCUAAAUCACCUGACCCAAGACCAGAUCCAAGAAAUCCAAGCCCG
rnacentral:lncRNA from 1 species